AUCAAUGGUGGCUCAGGCGGGGGCUUCUUCGGAAGCGCCGGUAUCCUUCAGAGCCGGUUACGCCAACCCUGUCUGGGCUACCACCAGC
rnacentral:antisense_RNA from 18 species